AUGGACCUCAUACACAAGAACAUGAAACAUUUCUGGGUCUUCCUCUUCUUGGUGGCAGUUCCCAGAGGUGUUCUGUCCCAGGUAAAGCUGCAGGAGUCAGACCCAGGACUGGUGAAGCCUUCGCAGACCCCGUCCCUCACCUGUGCUUACUCUGGACUCUCUUUAACUAGCUAUGUUGUGAGCUGGGUUCGCCAGGCUCCAGGAAAGGGACUGGAAUGGGUCGGUGUAAUAACUAGCAGUGGAAGCACGUCUUACUACCCGGCUCUGGCAUCCCGAGUCAGCAUCACCAAGGAUGAUUCCAAAAGCCAAGUUUAUUUAAAACUGAGGUCUGUGAAUCCUGAGGACACGGCCAUGUAUUACUGUGCAGAACACACAGUGAGGUGA